AGCUAACGCGUUAAGUCGACCGCCUGGGGAGUACGGCCGCAAGGUUAAAACUCAAAUGAAUUGACGGGGGCCCGCACAAGCGGUGGAGCAUGUGGUUUAAUUCGAUGCAACGCGAAGAACCUUACCUACUCUUGACAUCCAGAGAACUUAGCAGAGAUGCUUUGGUGCCUUCGGGAACUCUGAGACAGGUGCUGCAUGGCUGUCGUCAGCUCGUGUUGUGAAAUGUUGGGUUAAGUCCCGCAACGAGCGCAACCCUUAUCCUUUGUUGCCAGCGGUUCGGCCGGGAACUCAAAGGAGACUGCCAGUGAUAAACUGGAGGAAGGUGGGGAUGACGUCAAGUCAUCAUGGCCCUUACGAGUAGGGCUACACACGUGCUACAAUGGCAUAUACAAAGAGAAGCGACCUCGCGAGAGCAAGCGGACCUCACAAAGUAUGUCGUAGUCCGGAUCGGAGUCUGCAACUCGACUCCGUGAAGUCGGAAUCGCUAGUAAUCGUAGAUCAGAAUGCUACGGUGAAUACGUUCCCGGGCCUUGUACACACCGCCCGUCACACCAUGGGAGUGGGUUGCAAAAGAAGUAGGUAGCUUAACCUUC
rnacentral:rRNA from 1 species